AGAGUGAACGCUGGCGGUAGGCCUAACACAUGCAAGUCGAACGGCAGCACAGUGGUAGCAAUACCAUGGGUGGCGAGUGGCGGACGGGUGAGGAAUACAUCGGAAUCUACCUUUUCGUGGGGGAUAACGUAGGGAAACUUACGCUAAUACCGCAUACGCCCUUCGGGGGAAAGCCGGGGAUCGCAAGACCUGGCGCGGAUAGAUGAGCCGAUGUCGGAUUAGCUAGUUGGUGAGGUAAUGGCUCACCAAGGCGACGAUCCGUAGCUGGUCUGAGAGGAUGAUCAGCCACACUGGAACUGAGACACGGUCCAGACUCCUACGGGAGGCAGCAGUGGGGAAUAUUGGACAAUGGGCGCAAGCCUGAUCCAGCCAUACCGCGUGGGUGAAGAAGGCCUUCGGGUUGUAAAGCCCUUUUGUUGGAAAGAAAAGCAAUCGUUAAUACCCGGUGUUCUGACGGUACCCAAAGAAUAAGCACCGGCUAACUUCGUGCUAGCAAGCCGCGGUAAAUCC
rnacentral:rRNA from 1 species